GUGGUUGUGGCUCAGUGGUAGAGUGCUUGCCUAGCAUGUGUGAAGCAUUGGGUUCAAUCCUCAGAACCACA
rfam:Ictidomys tridecemlineatus contig078031, whole genome shotgun sequence.